AUCUCAAAAUUCCCACUUUCUGCAAGUCCCUUGAAUGCACCACACACACACCUCACAGGUCACAUGUUUCCCAUGACCAAUCCAAGGUAUUGGAGGGAAAGUUACCUGCGACCUCACUUCCUCUCCAGUCAGUUGUGUGGGGAGAGGAGCUGAGGGAGCAGCAGUGCACAGAUUUCUGCCUGCCUGGAGCUUUGGAUUGGGGGACUUUGUCAGGACAUGUGCCUGUGUGAAGGGAAUUGGCCAGGUGUCCUACUCUGAAUUGAGUAGUGGAUGGCGAGCCAGUGGUUCAGCGGCCAGGAGCCUGAAGAGACCCCCUCAGUUCCCAAAUAAAUUGUCGGGUAGGAG